rnacentral:misc_RNA from 1 species
CGGCCAGGCCCGCGCAUGCGCAGUUGGCCCGCAGCGAGGACCGAGGUGGUGCGCGAAGGGGAAUCUGCGUCACGAUUUCUGCUCUUUUGCCUGCGAUUUUCCGAGGGUACCAAGGCGCAUUUUGAGUCGGAAAGGAGGUAAAGAAGAAUGAGUCGAUCACCACAACACGCUGUGGCCAAUGGGGCUUCACCAGUCCGUGAAAGGUCAAGAGACCCUUCAUUUUCACGCUCAAGAUCACGCUCUAGAGAUCGCCGUGAAACCUACAAACACUCCUCUAGAAGUUCUGGCUCCCCACGAUACCGUGAGGACCGCUAUCGAGAUGAAAAAUAUUCAUCAUCACGCCGUAGAGAUUCUCGUUCCCCAUCCCCAUCGUACUCCAGAAACAGAAGGAGUAACAGGUCACCAAUGUCGAAUCGGCGCCGUCAUCAUGGUAGCAGAGAGGAUCCAUCCCCAAGCAACUGCCUCGGGAUCUUUGGACUCUCUCUUUACACAACUGAGAGACAGCUUCAUCACCUCUUCGGCAAAUAUGGACCUAUCAACGAAGUUCAGGUUGUACUAGAUGCUAAAACUGGUCGAUCAAGAGGAUUUGCAUUCAUCUACUUUGAUCAUGUGGAUGAUGCCACAGAGGCCAAGGAGCAGUGCACUGGGAUGGAGAUUGAUGGAAGGCGGAUCAGAGUAGAUUAUUCCAUCACGGAGAGAGCCCACACACCCACACCAGGCAUAUACAUGGGACGACCAACUUAUUCUAACAAUGGUCGUCGAGGUGGUGGUGGAGGUGGAGGAGGUCGCCACAGAGGUGGGUACGGAGGAGGAGGAGGAGGAGGUGGUGGUGGCAGUCGCAGUCGCCGGUCUCCUCCACGCCGAUCAUACCGCUCACGCUCUCGGUCGUACUCACCACGCUUGAAGAAUGGAAGUAUUGGUGAAUAUUGGAAGAUAAGAAAAUCUUAAUGAGUCGGAAGAUUAGAAGCACUGGCCGGGUUUCUUUGGGGAACAUUGGAGAAGAACUGUUGGCGAAGACAGAACAGGCUGACAAUAUUCACCACUGUUGUAAUAAGCAAGAAAUGGAAUGUUUCCAAGCAUAUGAAGAUCUCACACUAGAAUUUUGUGAAGCUUCAAGGGAAAUUGGAGAAGUAAUGAAGAUGGCAGUUGGUUUGAAGAAGGAAAUAAGGCGGGUAAAAGGGUAACAGCAGAAAAAACAAGGGAAAGCAGUAAGGAAGGGAAGUUAAGUUGAAGCAAAGUCGCAAAAAACUGGGUCAAGACGAAGGAAUGCAAGAGUUUUCUCAGGUCAAAAGGGCGUAUGGUCAACCCGAGUCUUCCUUGUUGAACACCACAUCAUCAUCCUCAUCCUCACAGGGGAAGUGUCAGUACUGCCAUGAGACUUGUUUUAACCAUUGGGAAGGUGUUAGGAAUAUCCAGGUCUGUCAUUAUUGAAAGCAAGCAAAGUAAAUUUUAUAAUAGUGUGGGAGGGAAUCGCUCAUUGGACAUACAUCAUUUUCUGAAUGAACAAAAUUCUGCAGCUUCUUAAAUGCCAGGUAAGUAGUGCUCGAUUUAUUCCUUUUUGAUGCUAAAGCUGCUUUAGAUUUAAUCUUUGUUUAGAUGAACGAAGAUCUUCUUUUCCCUUUUCCUUUUCUUUUUCUUCUAGAAAUUGGAUUUUUAGUUGUAGAGUCAUUAUGUCUAAUAUGAAAUACAAUUAGAAUUGUUUUGCUUGUCAAAAGAUAAUUGUUUGCUAAUAUUGUUUGAUAAUGCACCUCCCAAGCAGUUCUAAUCUUGAUUAGGUUAAAUUCUUGACUUGCAUGACCUAUUGAGUUCUACAGUUCAUAUGCAGUGGUAGUUUACGGAAAUCCUUAAAUUACAUUAGCUUUUUUGACAACUGAUUGUUUUAGAUAUCACAAGACCUUCUAAGGGUGUGAAAGUGACCACAAUAACGAUACUUCAUAUUAUUUUUAUUGACUUCAUUUCUGCCAGAACAUAAAAAUCAGAUGCAAGUACAUAUAGGAGUGAAUAAUACCACAAGUUGCAUUUCAGGUCAACUAAAAAAAAAGAAGAAAAAAAGACGUUGUUACUUAUCAAUAAAGCUUGUGUGAAUUGA